UACAGGGGGGGGCAAGCGUUGUUCGGAAUUACUGGGCGUAAAGGGCUCGUAGGCGGCCAACUAAGUCCGACGUGAAAUCCCAAAGCUUAACUUUGGAACUGCGUCGGAUACUGGAUGGCUUGAAUUCGGGAGAGGGAUGCAGAAUUCCAGGUGUAGCGGUGAAAUGCGUAGAUAUCUGGAGGAAUACCGGUGGCGAAGGCGGCAUCCUGGACCGACAUUGACGCUGAGGAGCGAAAAGCUAGGGGAGCAAACGGGG
rnacentral:rRNA from 1 species